UUCAUACCAUCUCUCCAACCCUCUUCAAUGCCUCAUCCAAUGAUAUGAAGUUAAAACCAGAGCUAUUUCUGACACAGCAAUUUUUGAGCGGGCAUUUGCCAAAAUACGAACAAGUUCACAUCCUCCCAGUAGGUGAGUGUGAGUUUGCUGGAGGUGGGGGUGGGGAUCCCAUCCUGCACACAUGGGGUAAGUAGGGCAGAUUGCCCCUGCCUCGCCUUUGCCACCACCGCCCUAGGGCCUGGCGUUUGGUCAUGUGGAAUGGGAAGGGUCCAGAAAGCUGAGAACA
rnacentral:lncRNA from 10 species